AAAGAACUUGGAAAUCAAAGCAUAAGCUGUUUGAUUGUGGUUCCUUCUGACGAAAGAGAAAGAAGAGGUGUAAAAGAAGCUUGCCAAAGACUUGAUAUCCACAAUAAUACUCUGGAUAACGAAAUCGCUCCAUUCUGGAGAGCAUUGAUGACAGUUUGUGAAUCACCUUCGAGCACAACAUUUCUAACCUUUAGCUUUAGCUAAUAAAGUUGCUUAUCUGCAAGCUAGACUCUUAAGAACCAACGACCAGAGAUAGCUUGGUGAAUCCUUCAGGACCAACCGUUGGGGUGGCUUUGAUGAUUCCUAGCUAACGCCAAUCGCCCCUAAAUUCCUGUGCAUGUUGAAACUUCAAAUUUUAUCACACCAGUAGUUGGAGGCAACCAAGUCCCAGGGUCAUGAUGCCCUGCAUGGCUAGCAGAACCUAGGACUAAGAUUGCAAUUACAGUUGAGUAGCCAAAAAAUCCUUGUAAUAAUUAAUAUCUCCGGUGAUGGUUUGCAGCGAAGGGAUUUCUUGGUGAUAGAUGGCAUAGCUAUUUCUACUUUUCCGCAAAUGCCAGAGGAGGAAGACCUGUAGAGCAGUGAAUUCGACGUUCCUCUCUUGUUUUGAAAGAUAGGAAGUUAUCUCGGAUCAAAUAUCCGUAAGAGAGGCUCUGAUUAACACAUAAGACCUUAACCAAGUGGAGAAUGAAUCCAGAAAUCUACAGCUCUUGGACAAGUGAAAAAGGGAUGUCUACGUGUCUCUGUUUCUCCACAAAGAUCGCAAUCUUCUGUUGAGACUCUCUUUGAUUGGCAAUUUCUCCAUCAAAUUCCAGAGAAAAAUAGCAAACUUUUUUGGGACAGAGCUUCCAAAGAUUGUUCUAAAAAAUUGCUUGCGCUUCUUAGGGCUGAGCUUGGCCCAGCUUGCAUAGAAACUGGGGAACUAUAAAGGAUCUUUUUGACAAUAUCAUAGCUUGCUUUAACUUGAUAAUGGCCGUGAUCAGUGUAUGCCAAACCCCUUUGUCAAGACCCGGAUAAUAGGAACUGGAAUGGAGAGAAUAUUGACAACUUCUUCUUCCUGAAAAUUUUCUCUGAAGUAUGGACAUCCAAAGAAUGACCAUGGGCAUGAAGGAGCUGUGACAACCAAUUAAUGCUUGGAUCAUAAUCAAUCUUUCACUUGAGGAAGAUUUGGAAAAGAUUUUGGGAUCCAUCUCUCUGAUUCACAUACGAAGAACAAGUGUAGCAUCAUUAAUGUGCCAGUGAAGACCUUUAUAGAGAACUUCUCUUCCCCAUAAAAAUGCUACGCUAACCCCAUGACGGAUUGCUGCUCUGAUUAGCUUCCAUAAAAUUGGUGAGGCACAUCAUGGGCCGUCAAUCGAAGAUGGCUAUGUUCUUUUCA
rnacentral:misc_RNA from 1 species